rnacentral:rRNA from 1 species
ACUCUUAGCAGUGGAUAUCUUGGCUCUUGCAUUGAUGAAAAAUGUAGUGAAAUAUGAUACUUUGUCUAAAUUUUAGAAUCCCGUGAACCAUCAAGUCUUUGAACACAAGUUGUGCCCCAAGCCAUUAGGUUGAUGGCAUGCCUACCUGAGUGUCAUGUAUCAUCACCCUCUCUAACCCCUUACCUUUUAAUAUGCUUGCAAAGACGUCAUUGUCGUGAUCAUGGAAUGUAGCAUGUGCCAUCUUGGCAUGCUUUGGCAUUGGCGUGCUCCUGGUAUUGGCCUACGGGUUCCCCAUCUAGCCCAUCUUGAAACACAGACUAAGAAAUUUGACAUAUGUGCGAGUCAACAAGCUAGAAAACCCGUAAGGCACAAGGAAGCUGAUUUAGGGGAUUUCUCAUAAGUGCACUGCUGACCAACCUUGAUCUUCUAAAAAGGGUUCAAGUGUAAACAUGCUUGUUGGGACCCAAAAGAUGGUGAACUAUACCUGAGCAAGGCAAAGCCAGAGGAAACUCUAGUAGAGGCCUAUGGUGAUACUAACGUGCAAAUCGUUCAUUUGACUUAGGUAUAUGGGCAAGAGACUAAUUGAACCAUCUAGUAGCUGGUUUUUCUGAAAGUUUCCCUUAAGAUAGCUAAAGCCCUUAGCAAGUUCUAUUGAGUAAAGCCAAUGAUUAGAGACAUUGGAGGCACAAUGCCCUAGACCUAUUCUCAGACUUUAAAUAGGUAGGACAGGGAUGCUACUUCAUUAAGUCGCACCAUAGAAUUAAGAGCUCUAAGUGGGCUAUUUUUGGUAAGUAAAAUAGGUGAUGUAGGAUGAACCAAAAGCUAGGUUAUGAUGCCCAUUGCACGCUAACCUAAAACCCACAAUGGGUGUUGGUCGAUUAAGAAAGUAGGAUAGUCGUCAUGGAAGUCAAAAUCUAUUAAGGAGUGUAACAACUCAUCUACCAAAUCAACUAGCCCCUACAAUGGAUGGCGUUUAAGCAUGUAACCUAUACUCGGCUAUCAGGAAAAGGGCCAAGCCCCAAUGAGUAAAAGGGUGCAACAAUCACCAUAAAACUCAGGGCACAAGCCCAGGCAAAGCAAUCGUUAUUGCAAAUCUUGGUGGUAGUAGCAAAUAUUCAAAUGAGAACUUUGAAGGCCAAAGAAAGGAAAGGAUCCAUGGGAAUGGCAUUUACACAUGGGUUAGUCAAUCCUAAGAGACGGGGGAAUUCCCUCUAACAGCAUGUCUAACAUGAGCUUCGAAAGAGAAGUGGGUUAAAAUUCUUGAUUUAGGAUGCGAUAACUGAUGACAAUGUUAGGAGUUUGCAUCGAUGGAGGCCUUAGAAAGAGUUAUCGUUUCUAUUUAAUGGCCUAUCCACCUCAGAAACAACUAGCUAGAGGUAAGGUCUAGCAAUCGGAAGAACACCACAUGUCAUGUAGUGUCUAAUGCACCCUCGACGGCCUUUGAAAAUCUGAAGGACUGAGUGUUGUCCAUACUUGGUCAUACUCAUGGAUUAGCUCUGAAGGUUGGGCAUGGUGGUCCUAAUCUUGAACUGUCAGUUGCCAGUGUAUUGCUCAAGCGACUCUUAUGGCAAAAACGGGUCGCCACAUGUCGAUUAAAGGAUGGACUAGGAACGGUUCUCUUAGGGGCCUUCAUCAAGCAAUGAAUAGUUGACGUAAAAUUGGUAUAGACAAAGGGAAUCCAACUGUUUAAUUAAAACAAAGCAUUAUGAUGGUCCCUACGGAUGCUCACACAAUGUGAUUUUUACCUAGUGCACUGAAUGUCGAAGUGAAGAAAUUCAACCAAGCACGGGCAAACAAUGAGAGUAACUAUGACUCUUUUAAGGUAGCCAAAUGCCUCAUUAUCUACUUGGUGACACGCAUGAAUGGAUUAACAAGAUUCCCACUAUCUAUAUCUACUAUCCAAUGAAACCAUAGCCAAAAGAAUAUGCUUGGUGGAAUCAGUAAGGAAAGAAGACCCCGUUGAGCUUGACUUUAGUCCAACUUUAUGCAAUGACUUGAGAGGUGUAGGAUAAGUGGGAGCCCUAAGGUGAAAUUGAAAUACCAAUACUUUUAACUUUAUUUUACUUAUUCCGUGAAUCGAAGGUGAGGCAUAACCUUUUUUUUUAGACUUAAGGCCAACCUUGAUUAGUUGAUUUAGAUGAAAGACAUUGUCAAGUGGGGAGUUUGGCUAAGGUGGCACAUCUGUUAAAAAAUAACAUAAGUGUCCUAAGAUUAGCUUAAUAGGAACAGAAAUCUCAUGUGGAACAAAAAGGUAAAAACUCAUUUGAUUUUUAUUUCUAGUAUGAAUACAAACCAUGAAAGCAUGGCCUAUUGAUCCUUUAGACCUUCAAAAUUUAAAGCUAGAGGUGAUAGAAAAGUUACCAUAGGGAUAACUUGGCUUGUGGCAGCCAAGCAUUCAUAGCGAUGUUACUUUUUUAUCCAUUGAUGUCGGCUCUUCCUAUCAUUAUGAAGUAGAAUUCAUCAUGUGUUGGUUUGUUCACCCACUAAUAAAGAAUGUGAGCUGGGUUUAAAUCAUCAUAAGAUAGGUUAGUUUUACCCUAUUGAUGGCAGCAUCGCAAUAAUAGUUCAACCUAGUAAGAGAGGAAUAAUUGAUUCGCACAAUUGGUCAUCGUUCUUGGUUGAAAAGCGAAUAGCGUGAAGUUACAUGCACUGGAUUAUGACUGAACACCUCUAAGUCAGAAUCUGGGCAAGAAAUGAUGCAUAUGCCCAUUGCUUGAUUGUUGAGCCAUAUUUGGUGUUACACGUGUCAUAGGUGCAGCCCUUAUGACAGACAAGCCGCACGGACCUCCUUGGAGCUCAAUUCCCACCGAGCAAUAGGUAAAAUCUUUUACAG